GUGCCAUUUUAAGGUUGACACAGUGUCUUAAGAGGCUAACACAGAAGGGGGGUAAAGUCAGUCUCCAUAAAACCCAGAGAAGAGAUGGUAAAACAGUUCUUUGGAACCAGUCUAGUGUCAGAGCU